rnacentral:rRNA from 1 species
UACGUAGGUGACCAGCGUUGUCCGGAUUUACUGGGCGUAAAGAGCGCGCAGGCGGUCGUUCAAGUCGAGUGUGAAAGCCCCCCGGCUCAACUGGGGAGGGUCAUUCGAUACUGAUCGACUCGAAGGCAGGAGAGGGAAGCGGAAUUCCCGGUGUAGUGGUGAAAUGCGUAGAUAUCUGGAGGAACACCGGUGGCGAAGGCGGCAUCCUGGACCGGCAUUGACGCUGAGGAGCGAAAGCCAGGGGAGCAAACGGG